AUGAAUAUCUUUAUUUAUAAAGCGCUACUUAUGUACGCAGCGCUGUACAGUAGAAUACAUUAAUACAAACAGGGUGUUAAUAAGAUAAUAGAUAAAUACAAAGUAUAAUAAUAAAUACAGAUAAAUACAGCACAGUAGAUCAGGUAUGGACUAUAUGAGUGAUUUUUUUUGCAAGGAAUAUUACAUGGAAAAUAUUGCUAUCAAGUCAUAUAAUUGUGAUGAGAACCUAAUCUAUAUGCAUUAAACUACUAGUGUAUUAAAAUCAGCUACAGCACAAUCCUUGUAGACUAUUAACAGCAGGGCAUGAAAAUGAUAUAACUGGGUCACCCCUGAGAGCAGGGGAUCAUAGAACUAUAAAAAAAAUCAGCACAUUACAUGUUUGAUUUAAAUAAACAAAACAAAACAUGAUUAACAGAUUUUAUUUAUGUAAUUCAUAAUAGAUUUGGAUUAGUUAUAAAAUAUCCAUUGCUGCAUCUUUGUUUGCUACAAUUAUAUUCUGAGACAAUUUGCAGUCCGUUUUACUUGAAAACCAUAAAAACUGCUGCAGGUACUUUUUUUUAAGCUAUUCGCAGUCACAUUUUAAACGCAGCUGUAUUUUCGCGGCAGAGCGUCAAAAUCAGAGGCAGAGUGGGACUAUCACUGAAAAUUAUGGACAGCUAGAAAACUACAGGAUGGAGGGGUCCUGGUAACUAAUGCUCGGACUGCUGCGGAUUUUCAACUUUCUUAUUUCUCCAUUUCGCUGUUGGGGAACUGUGGCUAAAUAACACACGUAGCCUUUUGGCAAUGUUUUACAACACACAAACAUCAACAACUACAAAAAAUAUACCCAUUCGCUAUUUUGAGCAGGAAGUCACUUUUGCCAGCGACGGAAGUGACGCUACUUUUCCCUUUCCGCUCCCCGUAACCUCGUCUCCUCCGAAGUGUUUAGCAAGCGAGGGACAUGGCCGAUGUGGGUUCGGAGCUACGGGACGCUGAAAUGGAAGAUGCUGACACAUCAGAGAGAAGUGGAGUAGAGGAAAAUGGAGAGGUCUCAGAAGAAGAACAGCAGCCCCUGAACAAGCACAGCAAACACAAGAAAAAGAAACACAAACAUCGGAGCAAGCACAAGAAACAUAAACAUUCUUCAGAGGAGGAGAAAGAUAAAAAACACAAACAUAAACAUAAGCACAAAAAGCACAAAAGAAAAGAUUCUGGAAAUAUUGAGAAAGAGGAUGUUUCCCCUACAAAGAGGGCAAAACUGGAUGACUUUGCUUUGUUGGAAGACUUAGAAAAACAGCGUGCUAUGAUAAAAGCUGAACUUGAUAAUGAAUUAAUGGAGGGAAAAGUUCAGUCUGGCAUGGGGUUAAUAUUGCAGGGUUAUAACUCUGGAUCUGAAGAGGAAGGUGAGAUUAACGAAAAAGCCCGCAAUGGUAAAAAAACUUCCAAGUCAAAUGCCAAGGGAAAGCAUGAUCUUGUUUCCAAAACUGCCUCCAAGAGAAGAAGCACGAGUAAGACCGAAGAGAAGGCAAAACAUAAAUCAGAAAAGAAAAAAAACAAAACCAUUUCUGAAGCUGUUAAAGAAAAAAUACCAAGUGGCAAAUCAAAGGAGAGAAGAAAAUCUAAAAGUCCAGCAAAAAGAAGUAAGUCAGAAGAUCAGCCAAGAAGGUCGCCAGCCCUUCGUCGCCAGUCACCAGAAAAGAAUAUAAAAACAAAAUCACCUCAAGAAGAAAGAAUGAAGUCAAGAGACAGAAAGAAAUCACCAGUGGCCAGUGAGAGUAAAAGCAGAGAGAGAACGAAAAAGUCAAAAUCUCCUGUUUCUAGAAGGAGCAAAUCAAAAGAGAGGCGGUCAAAAUCAAAGGAGAAGAAACCCAGGAGGUCUGAUUCAGACAGAGAUAGAAAGCCUCUAAAGUCUCCAUCAAAAGAUGCUUCUUCUGGGAAGGAAAACAGAUCACCUGGGCGUAGACCAGCACGGAGUCCAAAGGCCAGAAGCCUUUCUCCUAAACAGCGUGAUAGAGCUAUGAGACACAGUAGAUCUCCACCUGUUCAUGAUCGCAAAAGUAAACAAUCUCCACCAAGGAUACAGUCCCCCACUCGGAGAGCUAAGAGCAAAUCUGUUGAAAGAAAAAGAAGAGAACCAGAAAGAAGGAGGCUAUCUUCUCCCAGAUCCAGAACUAGGGAGGAUACUGCAGCAAGACACGAUAGAGCAAAAGAAGCCAGUCCUUCUAGAUGGUCUCCUUCUCGUAGACGACCAAGCAGGUCUCCAGCACGAAGAAGAUCACGAUCCCCACUGAGGAGAAGCAGAUCCCCUAGGAGAAGAAGCAGAUCUCUCCAUAGACGAGAAAGAGGUAGAAGAAGUAGAUCUCGUCUAAGGAGGAGGUCACAUUCCCGUGGGGGACGUAAUCGUAGAAGAAGAAGCAGAAGCAAAGAUAAAGAGGACAAGUUUAAAGGAAGCCUUUCUGAGGGGAUGAAAAUUGAGCAAGAAUCAUCUGAUGAUAACCUUGAAGAUUUUGAUGUGGAAGAAGAAGAUGAGGAAGCUCUAAUAGAGCAGAGGCGGCAACAGAGACUAGCAAUUGUACAAAAAUAUAGAUACAUAAAUGAAGACAGCAAUAUGUCUGUGCCAUCAGAGCCUAGCAGUCCUCAAAGCAGUACACGAAGUCGUUCACCUUCUCCUGACGAUAUCCUUGAACGGGUUGCUGCAGAUGUUAAAGAAUAUGAAAGAGAGAAUAUUGACACAUUUGAGGCCUCUGUGAAAGCCAAACAGAAUCUCAUGACCGAACAGAAUAAUGGUGCGAUGCAGAAGAAACUAUUGGCACCAGAUAUGUUCACAGAAUCUGAUGACAUGUUUGCAGCAUAUUUUGAUAGUGCUCGUUUGAGGGCUGCUGGAAUUGGAAAAGAUUUCAAGGAAAACCCUAAUCUGAGGGAUAACUGGACAGAUUCUGAAGGCUAUUACCGUGUAAACAUAGGAGAAAUACUGGAAAAACGUUAUAAUGUAUAUGGAUACACUGGUCAGGGUGUCUUCAGUAAUGUUGUACGUGCUCGGGAUAUGGCAAGAGCUAAUCAAGAGGUUGCUGUCAAAAUCAUCAGAAACAAUGAACUUAUGCAAAAAACUGGUUUGAAAGAACUUGAGUUCCUUAAGAAGUUGAAUGAUGCUGACCCAGAUGACAAGUUCCAUUGUUUACGACUAUUCAGACACUUUUAUCACAAGCAGCAUUUGUGUCUAGUGUUUGAACCACUCAGUAUGAAUUUGAGGGAAGUUCUGAAAAAAUAUGGAAAAGAUGUUGGGCUGCAUAUUAAAGCUGUGAGAUCCUACAGCCAGCAGCUGUUUCUAGCAUUAAAACUUCUAAAAAGAUGCAAUAUCCUCCAUGCUGAUAUUAAGCCUGAUAAUAUAUUGGUAAAUGAAUCCAAAACUAUACUGAAACUUUGUGAUUUUGGAUCAGCAUCUCAUGUUGCAGAUAAUGAUAUAACACCGUACCUUGUCAGCAGAUUUUACAGAGCGCCUGAAAUCAUAAUUGGAAAAAUGUAUGACUAUGGGAUAGAUAUGUGGUCAGUGGGUUGCACCUUAUAUGAACUCUAUAAUGGAAAGAUUUUGUUUCCUGGCAAAACUAACAAUCACAUGCUGAAAUUAGCUAUGGAUCUGAAAGGAAAAAUGCCAAACAAGAUGAUUCGGAAAGGUGUUUUUAAGGACCAGCACUUUGAUGCAAAUCUAAACUUCAUGUAUAUUGAAGUCGAUAAAGUAACAGAAAGGGAGAAAGUUACUGUUAUGAGCACUAUUAACCCAACAAAGGACCUAUUAGCAGAUUUAAUUGGUUGUCAGAGACUUCCAGAAGAUCAACGUAAAAAAGUACAUCAAUUGAAGGACUUGCUGGAUCAGAUUCUAAUGCUAGAUCCAGCUAAAAGGAUAAGCAUCAAUCAAGCUCUUCAACACCCAUUCAUCCAGGAAAAAAUCUAACUGUUCCAAUGGUUUAACUAGCUCCUGCCAGGACUGAAGACCUUUUCCAGCAACUUGUUAAUGUAUAUAAAUCUAUAAAUAUUUCUCCUGCAAAGCUGAAAAAGCAUGACUUGUUUAAAUAACAAGAAAGGUUUUGGGUUCUUUUUUUCAAAGAGUUGUUUGAGUAAAUGAUUUAUCUGCACAAUGUUUCCACUAUCAAACUGACUGGAAAAAAAAGUUAUUUCUGCAGUGCUAUUGCAGUCUGCUGUCAGUUACCCAAUGUUGGGAUUUAAGUCUUGGAUGUUAAUAUUUUAUUUUUAGCAGUCAUGGCUCAUAUCUUUUAUUUUUAUUACAUUCGUCUGUUUGGUCUUGAGAAAACAUGACCAGCAUAAAUGCUGUUUAUAUUCACAUUUCCCUAGGUUGUGUGCUCAGGCCUCUGCACCAUGCCCUUGGUCUAGUCAGUGCCGAAGGGGGGCCUGUUCCUUCAUGAGCCUGCCUCCAGGGAUGGUCUCCUCUUUUAAAGCAGGUUGUGUACAACUUUCAGUACACUGAAGGUAAGCUAAAACCAUCAACAUCACUGGUAUUUUUAAACGUCUGUGUUUGUGUAUUAUAUAAAUAGAUACUACUUUUGUCAGUUGACAAAUGAGAAUUUGAUUUAUAGAGGCAGAGUUAAGCCCCUGCAUGUUUCACAAGUGACCUGUUGUUGGGAUUUCUUUAUGUUGCAUUUGAUUUGGACUGUAUAGUAGCAGCAGUUGCAACAACCACUUUCUCUCCAUUCCUCUACCAUGGAGUUUUGCGCACUUGAUGGAUAAAGCGCCUUCAGUGUACUGUCUCACUUAAUUUUUUUUUUUUUUUAAUCUGUUUUCUUGAUAUUAAGCAUUUGAUUCAUGUAUUAUAAUGACCCACAAAUGUUACAUUCAAAUUCAAAUAUGGGGACAAGGUUCGUCAUGUUUAAAUGUUUAAAAUAACAUUUUAACAAACAAAAAUGUAUGUGUUGAAAAUGUGCAUUUGUGUUCUUUCAGUCUGUGCCAAAGGGGGCUCCCUUUUUCUGUACAUGGUGAUUCUCUCUGGCACUGGCUGAAGCUUCUGGUUAAAAUGUUGACUUUUUUCUGUUUUCAUUACUUGUGAUCAUGUUGUCUUUCAAUACAGGCAUAAACUCUUCACUCUUGAACAAAAGCAGCUGCUUUUUAAAAGCGGAAAUAAAGGAAAGCAAGACACAGGCCUCCCAGCGUCUGAUUUGCUGAGACACCAGCAUCACCUUCCUCACAAGGUCAUUUCUGACAGCAUGUGUAGAUAAGCAUAUAGCAAAAAUAGUCAGACAAAAUGGAUUUACCCACAGUUUUAUUUUUUAAAAGAUAAAUCUGUUUUAUAAGUUUUAAAAUACAAGGCACAUGUUCUGGCCAAAAAUCUAUACAAAUGUAUGGAUAGAUAUAACGUAGGUCUCCUUUGGCACCAAGUUUCGGUGUCAUUUGAGUUUGUUCUCUGGAAAUUAAAAAGGGGAUAAUCCAUUUUGUAAAAGGUGGAUUUUUUUUGUUGAGUGUCCAUUUUAUGUAUAUAUUUCUAACAUCCAGAAGGUAAAAUUUUGUUACACUGAAUCACAAUUUAUAGAGCAUUGGGCAUUGCAGGAUUUCUAAAAUUUGGAUGCUUGGAUGGAACCACCUCUCAGCAUCUUCUCAAGAAAAGAUAUAAAUCUUUUGCAAAAUAUUAGAUUGUCUGCAAAGUUUAGUUUUUUCUUUUUAAGGAUAAAGUUGCUGGUUUACCCGUUUCUUUGUGUUUUAGAUGCAGUUUGGCGGAAGACGAUUGCUGGAAGACCAAAACCAAGGUUUCUUUUGUAAGAGUGAAACAAAACGUUUGAUUUCUUAAAAAAUGUUAAUUAAACAGAUCCUUGUAUAGAGAUGUGUGUUGUUUAUAGGGAUACUAACAUAGUAGGAAAAAUCAUUUGGAUGUCUUCUCAGGACAUCAUUCCUAGGGAUGAGUUAUUUUUCCAGAUAUGCAUGAUUUUGGAUAUACAGCCUGUAUUCACUGUGAAUGCUUAGGAAGUCAAUUUACUGCCCACUUUCAUAGAGGAAUGCAGGCAGCUACCCAGCUUUUUGACCAUCAUGAAUACGUUGGGUUUUUCAAAAAUAAAGUGUUAUCCCUAGAAAACCAGUUCCUGUGGAUGACUUAUAAAUGACUUUCCAGACUGCGUUACACAUGAAAGGGUACUGAUAUAAUAUAGAUUUUUAGAAGCUGGAAGAAUAGCUGUUGUGAAACUAUUUUGUAUUAUGUUUAGUUAUUUAGCAUGGAGUAAAAUUAAAAUUUACAGAGAUUUUUUUUCUGAAUGUUAUCAUACCUGGCAAUUAUACAGGUUUCAGAUUCAAUGAAAUUUAAGUUAGUGGAGUAAAAAGUAGAUGUACACUCUUAAUAUUAGUAUAUAAUAUUAUAUAUAAUAUUAGUAAUAUAAUUAGUGUGUGACAUUGGCAUUGGAGUUUAAAUGAGAGACCUGAGAAGAAGCCGGAGAGGCCUUUGAAAUGGCAAGUUGCAAAUUUGCUUGCAUUAUUUACGCUGCUGAUAUCAUGAGUAUGUCAGGUGAUAAAUCCCUGCAGCUCUUUUACUCAAUUUGACAAGAUUAA